rnacentral:rRNA from 1 species
UUCCGGUUGAUCCUGCCGGAGGCCACUGCUAUUGGGAUCCGACUAAGCCAUGCGAGUCGAGAGGGUUCGGCCCUCGGCAGACUGCUCAGUAACACGUGGAUAACCUAACCUUAGGUGGAAGAUAACCUCGGGAAACUGAGAAUAAUAUUCCAUAGAUCUAGGAUGCUGGAAUGCAUCUAGAUUGAAAGUUCCGACGCCUAAGGAUGGGUCUGCGGACUAUCAGGUUGUAGUCAGGGUAAAGACCUGACUAGCCUACGACGGAUAUGGGUUGUGAGAGCAAUAGCCCAGAGACGAUAUCUGAGACACGAUAUCGGGCCCUACGGGGCGCAGCAGGCGCGAAAUCUUCACAAUGUGCGAAAGCACGAUGAGGGGAUCCCAAGUGCGGGCACGUAAGUGUCAGCUGUUUCUUAAUCUAAAAAAUUGAGAGAGUAAGGGCUGGGUAAGACGGGUGCCAGCCGCCGCGGUAGUACCUGCAGCUCAAGUGGUGGUCGCUAUUAUUGGGCCUAAAACGUCCGUAGCCUGUUUAGUAAAUGCUUGGGUAAAUUGUAUAGCUUAACUAUACGAAUACCGAGUAGACUGCUAAACUUGGGACCGGGAGAGGCUAGAGGUACUCCUGGGGUAGAGGUGAAAUUCUGUAAUCCUAGGGGGACCACCAGUGGCGAAGGCGUCUAGCUAGAACGGGUCUGACGGUGAGGGACGAAGCCCUGGGGCGCAAACCGGAUUAGAUACCCGGGUAGUCCAGGGUGUAAACGCUGCUUGCUUGAUGUUAGUUGGGCUCCGAGCCCAACUAGUGUCGGAGAGAAGUUGUUAAGCAAGCUGCCUGGGAAGUACGGUCGCAAGGCUGAAACUUAAAGGAAUUGGCGGGGGAGCACAGCAACGGGUGGAGCGUGCGGUUUAAUUGGAUUCAACGCCGGGA